rnacentral:lncRNA from 1 species
AUGGACAAAAGCGUUUGGUCCUUAGCAAUUCAUAAUGAUAUAAAGAAUAGAUAUGAUACCAGGAAAUUAGAUCUUGAGGACAUUUGGAUUUUGUAUGUUAUUGUGAGAGAGAUGUAGCAAGAAGAAGCCGUGAGGCUCAGGAUAGAUAGCGCCGCCGCAUAAACAUGAUCUUUAUGGAUUAUGUAUCGGCGUUAUCCCUCCUGAGCUUUACAGAUUCUUUCAUACUGUUUUUUGCAUUUUCAAUAUACCGCUACUAUCACCGACACCUCCUUACCCACAAUAUUAAACUUUGCUAACACACAUACAUACAUAUAAAGCUUAAAGUGAUGGGAUGGAUGGUGAAAGCAAAGGGACCAUGAUCAAUAUUUAUAGUAGGGGAAUACUGAAGAAAGAUGGAGAGGGAGUGAUCAAGGUGGGGGUCAGGGGUGUGGAAUGCUAGAUUUCCAACAAAUAAGGUAUCCAGCUGGAAAGAUUUAAAUAUUUCUUUAUAUAAUGAGUUUUAAUGAUGAAUAAUUUAAUUUCAGGAAAAUUUACUUCAAGUUUAAUUAUAAACUAUCUAAAAAUUGAUUAC